CGUGCGGGAGGAGGUCUAUUGAUUGUAAACCGCUUUUGAUAGGGAAGAAGAUCUGACGGUACCUAUCGAAUCAGCAUCGGCUAACUCCGUGCCAGCAGCCGCGGUAAUACGGGGGAUGCAAGCGUUAUCCGGAAUUAUUGGGCGUAAAGCGUCCGUAGGUGGUUUUAAAAGUCUGUUGUUAAAGCGCGAGGCUUAACCUCGUACAGGCAGUGGAAACUAUAAGACUAGAGUGCGGUAGGGGUAGAGGGAAUUUCCAGUGUAGCGGUGAAAUGCGUAGAUAUUGGAAAGAACACCGGUGGCGAAGGCGCUCUACUGGGCCUGCACUGACACUGAGGGACGAAAGCUAGGGGAGCGAAAGGGAUUAGAUACCCCCCGUAAACGAUGGAAACUAGGUGUCGACCGUAUCGCCCGGGAAGUGCCGUAGCCAACGCGUUAAGUUUCCCGCCUGGGGAGUACGCUCGCAAUCAUAAAACUCAAAGGAAUUGACGGGGCCCGCACAAGCGGUGGAGUAUGUGGUUUAA
rnacentral:rRNA from 1 species